rnacentral:tRNA from 2 species
GGAGAAAUGGCAGAGUGGUCGAAUGCGGCGGUCUUGAAAACCGUUGACCGUUUACGCGGUCCGGGGGUUCGAAUCCCUCUUUCUCCGCCA